rnacentral:lncRNA from 1 species
AAUUUGUCUAAAUAAAAUUUUCAAAAUUGAAAAUAAGUAAUAGAAUAACAAAAAAAGAAUUAAAAAAAUUAUAUUGAGAAAAAGAAAAAAAUGCAGUGAGCCAGAAAAAAGAGUUGUGUUAAAAAAGUAAAUUGAGUUAUUAAAUUAUUUAAACUAAUGAAAUUGAUGUAAAGAAUGUUUUUACUAAUAAAAUUGAAUGAUGAAUUAAAUUAUAACAUAUUACUAAAAUAAAUGAAAAU